CCUACGGGAGGCAGCAGUGAGGAAUAUUGGUCAAUGGACGAGAGUCUGAACCAGCCAAGUAGCGUGAAGGAUGACUGCCCUAUGGGUUGUAAACUUCUUUUAUAUGGGAAUAAAAUGUUCCACGUGUGGGAUUUUGUAUGUACCAUAUGAAUAAGGAUCGGCUAACUCCGUGCCAGCCGCCGGGGUAAUAAGGAGGAUCCGAGCGUUAUCCGGAUUUAUUGGGUUUAAAGGGAGCGUAGGUGGAUUGUUAAGUCAGUUGUGAAAGUUUGCGGCUCAACCGUAAAAUUGCAGUUGAAACUGGCAGUCUUGAGUACAGUAGAGGUGUGCGGAAUUCGUGGUGUAGCGGUGAAAUGCUUAGAUAGCACGAAGAACUCCGAUUGCGAAGGCAGCUCACUGGACUGCAACUGACACUGAGGCUCGAAAGUGUGGGUAUCAAACAGGAUUAGAUACCCCAGUAGUC
rnacentral:rRNA from 1 species